AUUGAACGCUGGCGGCAGGCCUAACACAUGCAAGUCGAACGAGUGGCGGACGGGUGAGUAAUGUCUGGGAAACUGCCCGAUGGAGGGGGAUAACUACUGGAAACGGUAGCUAAUACCGCAUACCAUCGGAUGUGCCCAGAUGGGAUUAGCUAGUAGGUGGGGUAACGGCUCACCUAGGCGACGAUCCCUAGCUGGUCUGAGAGGAUGACCAGCCACACUGGAACUGAGAAAAGGUGCCGAACCCCAAGGGAGGCAGCAGUGGGGAAUAUUGCACAAUGGGCGCAAGGCUGAUGGAGCCAGGCCGCGUGGAAGAAGAAGGCCUUCGGGUUGUAAAGUACUUUCAACGGGGAGGCGUUACCCGCAGAAGAAGCCCCGGCUAACUCCGUGCCAGCAGGCGGGGUAAUAC
rnacentral:rRNA from 1 species